ACGAGACGACCUGGCGGACGGCGGCCUGAAGGAUUGUGUGUGGCUGGAUACAGCAAGCGGACUUCUAACGGAUGCCAGCUGUGAGGAGAGAAAGCCGUUCAUCUGCAAGUGCAGCGAGGCUACCGAGUGGUUUGUGAAGCAGCCUGGCCGGGGCGUGGUGGGAGACCCAGCAUUCCUGCACCCCUCUGCCGAGAGCCUGGAACAGGCCAAGCAGGAGUGCCUCCGUGAGAGGAGUGUGUGCGCAGCCGUUCUGCAGGCUGGGACAGGCGUCUACCUGAUCAGCUCCAAGGCUGGCAUCAUCUCCCGACCCAACUCCACACUCUACAUAUGGACCAUAUGUGCUGAGGGGUUCAGCGGCCUGCGCUGUCAUAGAUACACUGCCCCCCAAGAGCGACCCCCAUGUGAUUGCAGUGGCAGAGUCCGG